GACGAACGCUGGCGGCGUGCCUAAUACAUGCAAGUAGGACGCACAGUCUAUACCGUAGCUUGCUACACCAUAGGCUGUGAGUUGCGAACGGGUGAGUAACGCGUAGGUAACCUGCCUAUUAGAGGGGGAUAACUAUUGGAAACGAUAGCUAAUACCGCAUAACAGUAUGUAACACAUGUUAGAUGCUUGAAAGAUGCAAUUGCAUCGCUAGUAGAUGGACCUGCGUUGUAUUAGCUAGUAGGUAGGGUAAUGGCCUACCUAGGCAACGAUACAUAGCCGACCUGAGAGGGUGAUCGGCCACACUGGGACUGAGACACGGCCCAGACUCCUACGGGAGGCAGCAGUAGGGAAUCUUCGGCAAUGGGGGGAACCCUGACCGAGCAACGCCGCGUGAGUGAAGAAGGUUUUCGGAUCGUAAAGCUCUGUUGUUAAGGAAGAACGAGUGUGAGAAUGGAAAGUUCAUACUGUGA
rnacentral:rRNA from 1 species